GAGAAGAUGGUUGAGCGGUUGAAAACAACGGUUUGCUAAAUCGUCACAUUUAAAAUUGAAUUUAAGUGUCAUGGGUUCGAAUCCCAUUCUUCUCAA
rnacentral:tRNA from 1 species